CCCAGCUCCAGCUCCCCUGAACAGUUUGAGGAGGAGUCUCUGUUAGUGCGCCUUGGGAAACAGCCUCUUCUGGUCUGGAUGUAUCUCUGCGGGGCGCGGAAUUCGUUGCCCCUCGCCUUUGCUGUGCCCUGUGCCCUUGGGGAUGAGGAUGGGGGUCGAUGCCCGUUUUGCAGGGAGGGCGUGGAGUUCGCCCUCAGCUCCAUCCUCUCUCUGGGAGGGGGCAGCCGGGUGGACUGCGCCCCCUCAUCCUCUCCAGGAGAGUCAGAGCAAAAGCGCCUCUGGGCUUGGGGGCCAACUCUGCUUCUUUGGGCGAGCGCUGACCACACCGCCCUCCAGAAACCAUGGGUGUUGCUAGACCCAGCUGGGAUUCUGCCAAGCUCUGGUGCUCAGUCUAAGACAAGGGCUGCCUUCCAGCCCUGUUCGCCCAGCCUGUCAUGGCCACACACCGAUGCCUCCCGCUUGUGUGGGGACACAGGGCACCCAGCCCCAACCCUGAAAGGUUAAGCCAGGCCUUCUGGCUCCAUUCCACAGGGACACUGCAGGCCCGAGGCUCCUUUCAGAGCAAGAGCAACUGAUGUCAUGGGAGAAGCCCCUACCCAACUGUCCACUUGCCUGGCACUGCCUGUUCUGAGACCCACGCCCUGGGUCCUUCUGCAGGUGCCAACCCCGUGAGCUCCCUCCCACCCCCUGACCCGACGCUGAGAAGGCUCUCUCCAUUCCCAUCAUGUGUGAGGUGAUGCCCACAAUCAAUGAGGGGGACCCCCUGGGGCCCCCCCACGGUGCCGAUGCUGAGGCCAACUUUGAGCAGCUGAUGGUGAACAUGCUGGAUGAGCGAGAGAAGUUGCUGGAGUCCCUUCGGGAGAGUCAGGAAACUUUGGUAGCCACACAGAGCCGGCUCCAGGAUGCCCUUCACGAGCGAGAUCAGCUCCAGCGCCACCUGAACUCCGCCCUUCCCCAGGAAUUUGCCACUUUAACUCGGGAGCUAAGCAUGUGUCGGGAGCAGCUUCUGGAGCGGGAGGAAGAGAUAUCUGAGCUGAAAGCAGAGCGGAAUAACACAAGGCUGCUUCUGGAACAUCUGGAAUGCCUCGUGUCCCGCCAUGAGCGGUCAUUGCGGAUGACAGUGGUAAAACGGCAGGCCCAAUCACCUUCAGGUGUCUCCAGUGAGGUGGAGGUGCUGAAGGCCCUCAAGUCACUAUUUGAGCACCACAAGGCCCUGGAUGAGAAGGUGCGAGAGCGGCUCCGGGCAGCUCUAGAGCGCGUUACUACCUUGGAGGAGCAGUUGGCAGGAGCUCACCAGCAGGUAUCUGCCCUGCAGCAGGGUGCAGGAAUUCGGGAUGGAGUAGCAGAAGAGGAAGGGACUGUGGAUCUGGGACCAAAACGCCUGUGGAAAGAUGACACUGGCCGCGUGGAAGAGCUGCAAGGACUCUUGGAGAAGCAAAACUAUGAGUUGAGCCAGGCCCGUGAGCGGCUGGUCACCCUGAGUGCCACCGUGACUGAGCUGGAGGAGGACCUGGGCACGGCCCGCCGAGACCUCAUCAAGUCAGAGGAGCUGAGCAGCAAGCAUCAGCGGGACCUCCGAGAGGCUCUGGCUCAGAAGGAGGACAUGGAAGAGAGAAUCACCACACUGGAGAAGCGCUACUUGGCUGCUCAGCGAGAAGCCACAUCCAUCCAUGACCUCAAUGACAAACUGGAGAAUGAGCUGGCCAACAAGGAAUCCCUGCACCGCCAGUGUGAGGAGAAAGCCCGGCAUCUGCAGGAGCUGCUAGAAGUAGCAGAGCAGAAGUUGCAGCAGACCAUGCGCAAGGCAGAGACUCUGCCCGAGGUGGAGGCUGAGCUGUCUCAGAGAAUCGCAGCCCUCACCAAGGCUGAGGAACGUCAUGGCAACAUUGAGGAACAUCUGCGGCAGCUGGAAGGGCAGCUGGAAGAGAAGAACCAGGAGCUGGCAAGGGUGCGCCAGCGGGAGAAGAUGAAUGAAGACCACAACAAGCGGCUGUCAGACACCGUGGACCGGUUGCUUAGUGAGUCCAACGAACGCCUGCAGCUCCACCUCAAGGAGCGAAUGGCUGCCCUGGAGGAGAAGGGCCGUCUGUCUGAAGAGAUUGAGAAGCUGCGCCAAGAGGUGGACCAGCUGAAGGGUCGAGGGGGGCCGUUUGUGGAUGGCAUCCACUCCAGGUCACACGUGGGCAGCGCAGCAGAUGUGAGGUUCUCACUGAGUACAGCCACACACGCGCCCCCAGGUCUGCAUCGACGCUAUUCGGCGCUGAGGGAUGAAUCUGCCAAGGACUGGAAGCCAUCGCCACUGCCAGGGGUGUUGGGCGCCACCACGCCUGCCUUUGACAGUGACCCUGAGAUCUCUGAUGUGGAUGAGGAUGAGCCUGGGGGCUUGGUGGGCACUCAGGUCGAUGUCAUCUCACCCGGUGGCCAUUCAGAUGCCCAGACCCUGGCCAUGAUGCUACAGGAGCAGCUGGAUGCCAUCAACCAGGAGAUCAGGAUGAUCCAGGAGGAGAAGGAGUCCACUGAGCUUCGAGCUGAGGAGAUUGAGACCCGUGUGACCAGCGGCAGCAUGGAGGCCCUCAACCUGACCCAGCUGCGCAAGCGUGGCUCUAUCCCCACCUCUCUGACCGCCCUUUCCCUGGCCAGUGCAUCUCCACCGCUCAGUGGCCGCUCCACACCCAAGCUCACUUCCCGAAGUGCUGCCCAGGAUCUGGACCGAAUGGGGGUCAUGACCCUGCCCAGCGACUUAAGAAAGCAUAGGAGGAAGCUGCUGUCGCCAGUGUCUCGGGAAGAGAACCGAGAGGAUAAAGCCACCAUAAAAUGUGAGACUUCUCCUCCUUCCUCACCCAGGACGCUGCGGCUAGAGAAGCUUGGCCACCCUGGCCUGAGUCAAGAGGAGGGCAAGAGUGCCUUGGAGGGUCAGGACAGCAACCCCAGCAGCAGCAACAGCAGCCAGGACUCCCUGCACAAGGGCGCCAAGCGCAAGGGCAUCAAGUCAUCCAUUGGCCGCCUGUUUGGGAAGAAGGAGAAGGGCAGGCUGAUCCAGCUGAGUCGGGAUGCCACGGGCCAUGUUCUGCUCACAGACUCCGAGCUCAGUCUGCAGGAACCAAUGGUACCUGCUAAGUUGGGGACCCAGGCAGAGAAGGACCGGCGACUGAAAAAGAAACACCAGCUGCUUGAAGAUGCGCGCCGAAAAGGAAUGCCCUUUGCCCAAUGGGAUGGCCCCACGGUGGUCUCCUGGCUGGAGCUCUGGGUGGGGAUGCCUGCCUGGUAUGUGGCGGCCUGCCGGGCCAAUGUCAAGAGUGGCGCCAUCAUGUCCGCCUUGUCGGACACGGAGAUCCAGCGGGAGAUCGGCAUCAGCAAUGCCCUGCACAGGCUCAAGCUCCGCCUGGCCAUCCAGGAGAUGGUGUCACUGACGAGCCCCUCAGCUCCACCUACCUCCAGGACUUCUUCAGGGAAUGUCUGGGUGACCCACGAAGAGAUGGAAACUCUGGCAACAUCUACCAAAACAGACAGUGAGGAGGGCAGCUGGGCCCAGACCCUGGCCUAUGGAGACAUGAAUCACGAGUGGAUUGGAAACGAAUGGCUGCCCAGCCUGGGGCUCCCUCAGUACCGUAGUUACUUCAUGGAGUGCCUGGUGGAUGCCCGCAUGCUGGAUCACCUCACCAAGAAGGACCUGCGUGUCCAUCUCAAGAUGGUGGACAGUUUCCAUAGAACCAGUCUUCAGUAUGGCAUCAUGUGUCUGAAGAGGCUGAAUUAUGACCGGAAGGAACUGGAAAAGAGGCGGGAAGAGAGCCAGCAUGAGAUCAAGGAUGUGCUGGUCUGGACCAAUGACCAGGUGGUUCACUGGGUCCAGUCUAUAGGGCUAAGGGACUAUGCAGGAAACCUACACGAGAGUGGUGUGCAUGGCGCCCUGCUGGCCCUGGAUGAAAACUUCGACCACAACACACUGGCCUUGGUUCUGCAGAUCCCCACACAGAGCACCCAGGCCCGCCAAGUGAUGGAGAGAGAGUUCAAUAACCUGUUGGCCUUGGGCACAGACAGGAAAUUGGAUGACGGAGAAGAGAAGGUGUUCCGCCGAGCACCCUCCUGGAGGAAACGCUUCCGGCCUCGGGAUCACCAUAGCGGUGGCAUGUUGGGCACCUCAGCGGAGACCCUCCCGGCGGGCUUCCGUGUGUCCACGCUGGGUCCGCUGCAGCCUCCACCUGCCCCGCCUAAGAAGAUCAUGCCGGAAGCCGGGACGGCGGGGGCGCAGAGACUGGAGCCCUCUACGGUCCGGACCUACUCCUGCUGACCCCCCCCACCCUCCCGCCCCGGGUCUGACGGGGGUGCGCCCCCGGCUCGGGCUCACUCCCACUAUCUCUACGGACACAUGCUCUCCGCCUUCCGGGACUAGCCACGGCCCCCAGGGCGGGUGUCCUGGUUUCACAGGCUCAGCCGGCCCUGACCCUUCCUGCUCGUUCCCUUUCUCCCUUGGCUCCCAGUCUCUCCUCUGUGAUUUUCCAGUUGCCCGGGAUCUCAGAAUAUGCUCAUCCACUCCUUCAUCAUCCCACUAUCCGAGUCCUACUUCGUUCCCCCUUUGUAAGUCUCUGGAGGAUGUGACCAAGGUCUCCCGUGAGUGUCUGUCGGGCACCCAGGUUGUAGGUGUUUGAGAUUCUGUAGGAGGGAGGGAAGGACAGCACCUGUGGCCACCUUCCCUCUUCCGGAUCUGUUUUGGUCUGGACUAUGGGCUCAUCAGGCCCAGGAUCCCGGACCAAAGACUGAGAUGACCCUUCCAAUAAAAGGCCAUUUCGGACUCUGUCCUGCUUGGACUAAUUGGCCUUCUGGACCCCUCCACUCUGGCCGUACCCGAUGGUCUGAGUGGUUUUGCCACCUCCUCUCUCAGUAUCACUCCCUCCUCCCCAAACCCCAAUCUCCAGUGUCUGUAGCUCUUGCCUGCAAGUCUUGCUUGUGGGGUGACGAGGGGUGUAGAAUACCCCGAACCCUCUUCCAGGACAAAGCCAGGAGUGGAGCUGAGGAAGACUAAGGUAGAAACUCUGUGCCCAAGCUGACACAGAACCCCAAAUGUGUGGGAGGAAUGGACCCCAGAGCUUUGGGCCCAGGGUGAGGGCAAGGGGAACUCUUCAGCCCCUUGCCUAGAGAGAUGGCCUGAUGGCCUUUUGUGCUUCCCCCCAGAGGGCAGUGGGGAUGCCUCCAGCCCCAGCCCCAAAUGGUGCUGCUACUGGAUCAGAUUGUGAACGGUUAACUCUGCCCUGAAGUGGGGGUGCGGGAAUGGGGAGGCUUCCCCUUUAGUGACUCAUGUCCCAGGUCUAAGAAAUCUAAAGUGGACUGAGGCAGGCUCCCUUGUGUGUCCCUAUACCCUCCAGCCCUCCUUUAGGGUUCUUUUGGGGGUAAGGGGCUAACUGCUCAAGAAAAUCUUGAUCCCCUCUCUUGUCUCCAUUAUUUUAAUUGCUUUUUCUGGCAGCACGGUGGGGACAGGGCAGAUUUAUGAGAAAUAUCAAUUGCCCCUCUCUUCUGGACCAAUUCCUUAACCUUGGGAAAGCUCAGGGCCUAGUAUCAGGGUGGGUGAUAGAACCCGAAAUGGAAGAGGACGGGAAAGUGCCUGGGCUGUGCUUGUGACCGGCAGUACAGUGCCAUCCUGGAGGUGACUGGAGUAGCUGCUUUGCCAUUUCAUCACUGGGAUUCUGAACAGGCGCCAAGCUAACAGGUGGAGAAAUGAGCCAGAACUCCCUGUCUGAAAAGGAUGCCGAGCCUUGUGCUCAGCAGAGGGAAGUUUGGCUAAUGGGCUGAUCGAAUGAGCUAACAUGGGCUGGGGCAGGCAACUACCCGUCCUCAAGCCCGCUGUUUCUGUCUCCCUACCAGACAGGCCUCUGGGAAUGGAGAGAGAAGCAGCUGAGUAGAACAUGAACUAGUUAGAGCGAGAGAACCCUUGGUCCUGAAUAGUGGAGUUAUAGAGAAGGGCCAGUCCUAAGAUGGAAGGAGCCCUACAAUCUGACUCCUUCUAGGGACUCUGGGGCUAGCUUUGUGGGAGAGUCAGCCCUGCCCCUCCUCUCCCAUGUGACCCUGUCAUAGUUUGCAGUGUCCUAGGUAGCACUUGGGGAGCCAGGUGCAUUCAGGGUCAGUAGGGAGGACAAAAUAGGGGGCUCUACGUGCAGUGAGGAAAGGCUGCUGUCAUGGUGUGGCCCUGCCUCACUGUCAAUAUCUGUUUUCUCUGGAGAGUCCACCAGUGACCCAAGCUCUCCCUGCCAGCCUCCUGUGUCAAACCAGGUCCCUUCUCAGUACUGUAUUGGCUCAGUGCUUUCAGGAGUGAGUGUGUGAGUGAGUGUGUGAGUGUGUGUGGGCGUGAGCGGGUGUGUACGUACCAAUAAACAUCCUGGUUUUAAGACAAUGUA